UACAGAGGUGGCUAGCGUUGUUCGGAAUUAUUGGGCGUAAAGCGCGUGUAGGCGGCCUUGCAAGUCGGGUGUGAAAGCCCUCAGCUCAACUGAGGAAGCGCGCCCGAAACUGCAGAGCUUGAGUACCGGAGAGGAUGGCGGAAUUCCCCAAGUAGAGGUGAAAAUUCGUAGAUAUGGGGAGGAACACCGGUGGCGAAGGCGGCCAUCUGGACGGAUACUGACGCUGAGACGCGAAAGCGUGGGGAGCAAACAGG
rnacentral:rRNA from 1 species